AGGCUCUGGGCGCUAAAGUGUUGAAUGUGGGUAUCUGACAUGCGCACUGACAAUAGGGCCUGACAGAGAAUCUUCCACAUUCAAUUGCUCUCCGUCUCGCGCGUUUCCGAACUAAAACCCAGAUGGAUUCAACCUGACGGUCGCAGCUCGAGCUGCGCUUCCACCUCUGAACCCAGAGAAGCUCCGAUCAGGUUCCAGGAGUGGAGGGAAAGUACUUAUGCUCAAAUGAGUUUUGGUGGUAAUGGGGCAAGCUUCAGUAACAAUCCACCUGGGGGGAGAAUCUUCCAUGCAUACGAUUGGCUACUGGCUCCUUUGGAGGCAUAAACUCUGGUCUCAACCAUCAUGGGAUCACACCUGCAGAAGCCUUCUCUUUGAGCUUCAACUCGAUUCUUUUUUGAAUUAGAAAAUCAGGGUGAAGCAAUGGAAGAUGUUCUGGAAAUACUAUUAGAAGCUCUCACCACUUGACCUAUUUGGAUGGGGCGGUCCAUGAAAUUUAAAGCAAGACAUGCAAGCAGCUUUUGCUAAUGGAGGACGCUCCUUGGAACCCCUGAGGUACAAGGGAUUGGAUUUCCAUAAUUUCUGGAUAUUUGUGAGUACCAUUCUGUAAGUGGAGGAUCUUGAUGUUGUUUACUUGAAAUGAGGAAUUUUCUUAUCAUUUCCACAUUGGAAUUCCAACUUCAAAUCAAACCGAUAGGAUUGGAGUUCUUAGGUAAAUGGGGUUUGUAUCUUUGUUGAAAAAAAGGUCUUUUCUUUUGCCCAUUCAAAAGAAAAGCUCUUUUUUUUCCCAUCUUUUUAAUGACUUAAUUUUCGAACAGCCACUA